UACGUAGGUGGCAAGCGUUGUCCGGAAUUAUUGGGCGUAAAGCGCGCGCAGGCGGCCUCUUAAGUCUGAUGUGAAAGCCCCCGGCUCAACCGGGGAGGGCCAUUGGAAACUGGGAGGCUUGAGUAUAGGAGAGGGCAGUGGAAUUUCCGGUGUAGCGGUGAAAUGCGUAGAUAUCGGAAGGAACAUCGGUGGCGAAGGCGGCUGCCUGGCCUAAUACUGACGCUGAGGUACGAAAGCAUGGGGAGCAAACAGG
rnacentral:misc_RNA from 1 species